CAGGGGAACAAGUUAACAUCUCAUGACCGCAGCACCUCUGACCCACUCCCUGGAGCAGCGGCUCAGUCAGAGGAAGUGGUUCUCCUGACACCGAGUAAGACCUUCACUGUACCAAGGAGAACACUCUAGCUGGAGAAUGAAGACCUGUCCCAGACAGGGUUUCAAGCAUCCACGAGAGGCCUUGAACUCCUAAUGCUCUGCCCUCUCUACCUUCCAAGCCCUGAGAUCAGAGGGUUUCUUCAUAUAGCCCUGUCUGCCCUGGAACUCUCUAAUAGACCAGGGUGGCCUCUAACUCACAGAGAUCUGCCUGUCCUUGUCCCCCAAGUGCUGGGAUUAAAGGUAUGUGCCAGACAGUUAUGUGUUUUGUUUUGUAUGUUUGAGACAGGGUCUUACUAUGUAGCCCUGGCUGGCCUCGAACUCAUAGACAUCUGCCUGCCUUGCCUCCUAAGCUCAGGAUUACUGAGCCACUACAGCUUGAGACGAGAUUAUGUAGCUAAGGCUGACCUGGAAGUCUAUCACACUGCUUCAGCUGGAGAGACAGGUGUGCAUUAUUAUACUCGGGUGACAGUUCUCCUUAGUAAGGGACACACAGGUAGCAAUCUGACUACCACAAAGGACAGUGCAGAAUCCAAGGGUCACAGCUCAUCAAUCAAUAGUCCCCACAGCCAGAACAGAAACCAACCUUGACCGCUGCGGCUCUUUUAUAACAUUACAUAAGCUUAUUUACUUAAUUUUUUUUUUUUUUGAGACAAGGCCUUGGGUAGCCCAGGCUGGCUCAAAUUCCCUAUGUAGUCUAGGAUGACGAAUGACCUUGAACUUCUGAUCCUCUCUACCUCCUAAAGUUCUUGGAUCACACUAUGUGAUCCUCCACACCCAGUUUCCGUAGGCCCUCGGCAUGCUAAGCAAGCACGCUAUCAACCCAGCCCCAGCGCUCGCUCUUCGCUGUUUCCCACUCACAUUGCCUGUCUAUGCUUAUGGUGUCUUGCACAUUUUCUUUCUUUUUAAGUUUGGUGUGUGCAUUUGAGUAUUUGUAUACAGCAGGUGGACGCACGCGCGUGCAGGUCAGAGGACAACCUCCGGCAUCAGCCCUUCCUUCGCCUUCUUUGUUUGAGGCAGUCUCUGGUUUUCUGCUGCAUCCUUGAGGCUAUGUGCCUGUGAGCUUCUGGAGUUCCUAUCUCAGUUUCUCAUCUCGUCCCAGGAGCGCCAAGAUUACAAAUGCGUGCUAUGCAUUCAGCAUUUACAUGGCUUCUGGGAAUUCAAAUUCUGACCCUCAGACUUGUGUACCCCAGGCUGGCUCAAACUCCCUAUGUUGUUAGGACAGGUGCUCUACCCUGAGCCAUCUUUCUGAGCUUUGAACAUUUCCUAGUGUCACCAACAAAUCUGUGACCAUCAUUUCUAACCGGGAUCUUGGACUCCAUGAGAUGAACAGUGAUCACGCAGUUCUUGCCUUAGGAGUUUGUCAUUUGUCAGUUUCUCUUUUCAGCCACAGUACAGGACUUGAGAAUCAUCUGGGCCCUACUGCUUUGCACCAAAAGUACAUCAGCCUCAGGGAAACUUGGCCAGUUUUGUUUCAGCCUGGCCCUUCUUCUCCACGUCUCCUUUGGGUGCCAUUGGAGUCCUGAGGAUUUGCAAAGCCCACAGUAAAGUAUGUGUUGCUAACGUGGGUUCCUGUACGCUUAGAGAGAACGAGUUAUCUCUCCCUCUCCCUCUGGUCCCUCACUGCCUGGCUGAGAUACUUUGUCUUUGUACUGCCUCUGAAUCCUGGAGGCGCUGUAAUUUCCAGCUGACUCUUAGAGCAUCACCAUCUCUGUGGAGCUCUUCCAAUCACUCACGCCCAUGUUGCCAUCUCUCUCCAGAGAGCCAUCUGCCUUAGUGCUUCAUGGCUACCCGUCUUGUUUUAUUCGUUCAUCUCCUUUACUUUAGGUUAUACGUGCCCGUAGAGCAGAAAAGCAGCUUAUGAUUCCUUUCCACUCCUGUGGUGCCAAGCACGCAAAGAUGUCCCCUAAUAAAUUCUAGCUGAAUUGUCAACUUACGCUGAAUGGGUAAAAUGAGAUUUUUUUUCCCCAUCUUUGAAUAAAUAAUAAGACCUUUAGCAUCUAUCCAUUAGCUUAAGUAAAACUAUGAAUGACACCAGUUUCUAGUCAUCUGAAUUAGGCAAAAUAGGUAAAACAGGAUUGUACUUACUUAGAAUCCGUGCAAAUCCAAAGUCACAAAUCUUUAUCACUCCUUGCUUGGUUAUUAGGAUGUUUUCAGGUUUUACAUCCCGAUGAAUACACUGCAAGACAAUAUUUGAUCAAUUAUCCGAGCCAUCAAAAUGACAAAGAAUCAACAGUGCCUAUUAGUCUAAAUGUUAGAUACAUACAUGGCUUACAAUUGAAAAACAAAUAGAUAUCACCUGCAUUUUUCUGGAAAAAUUUAAAUUGUCAAUUUUUAUGUAUAAAUCUUGUCAAGUAAAAGAAACUUUAUCUAAAUGUCAGUAUAUUAUCAAAGAGAUUAAAACUGUAAUUGUUAGCUGGAGAGUGUUGGCACAUGCCUUUAAUCCCAGCACUCAAGAGGCAGAGGCAGGAGGACCUCUGAGUUAGAAGCCAGCCUGACUGAUUUACAGUGUGAGCUCCAGGACAGCCAGAGCUACACAGAGAAAACCCUGUCUCAAAAACCAAAACCAAACCAAACUGAUAAAAAAAAAACAAAAACAAAAACAAACCUAAACUAUCACUGUUACACGAGGAAACUCUCUGUCUGGAUCUUUUGAAGAGAGGAACAGUAUACGGUGACUUUGUUCACAUCCUGCUGUGCUGUCUGAACUUCAGUGGAAGACGAAGACACAGGAGGAACAGGAGAGUCCAUGUGUCUUCACCACGAGCCGCGGCUACUCAUGAACCACGGUGCGGUGUGAAUAUUGAUCACAGGGCUGAGAAGCUGGAAGCACAAGGGCAAACCCCAGCAACACUGAGAUGACAACAAAGGUGUGUAAGGAAAGCAGCGCAGUCAGAAGACAUUUUAAUCUUGGGGUCGUUAAGUUUGUCUAGAGACUCUUAUUCUUAUUUGCUAGUGAGAAUGCUCAGCAGAUAAGGGAGCUCACGCCACAAAUCUGGGCACCUGAGUUUGAUCCUUGGAAGCCAUGUGACGGUGGAGGGAGAGGAUCAGCUCCACAACGUUGACCUCUGGCCUUUCAAAUGCACACUGUGGCAUGCACCACCUCAUCGUGAACAUAUAGACAAUAAUCAUACUAAGAAAGCAUCCAUUUUUAAUAGCGGCCAUAUGAAGGGGGCCAUGGUUCAGCCCCAGCAAGCAGCAGAACUCAGCAGCUUCAGCCUUGUGCAUCUGGCUUUAUAGUCAAGGGGAGAAGGAGACGACUGGGAUAACUGAUGCUGGUUAGCUGGAGCUAAGAAAUUAGUGGUGAUUAAGAAGAGACCAGCAUCAUUGGGGUGAGAUCUGGAAAGUAUUUUCUAAGAAUACAAGGAAGCUGUGUUUCAGAGAUAGCCAAGGUUGUACCGUGUGCUGCAACUGUACUUCGUAAUGUGUAAGAGUCACCCAGAUGGAGCUGGUUUUGAAGGCAUGAAGGGGUCACGGAGACUAGCUGAGGCUCUGCACUGUGAGAGGCCACGGAGGGCCAUUGGUGAAGAUGCAGCCUUGAUCGCAGUUGAAGACCUAGGACUGAAGGGGUCAUGCAAAGAAGUUGAGGCUCGGCACCAUGAAGAGAGCCCAUGAGAGGUUACUGGUGAAGCCUAGUUGCAGCAGAAGACCCCAGCAUAUUGGAGAUGCCAGUACCAUGGGAUGAUCACCAAGAACAGCAGCAGCAGUGGAGUGGUGGCAACCUGAGCCUAGAGCCCACAGAGGGCAGAGCUGGAGAAGUGACCAGAAAAUCAUCUGUGGAUCCCAGACUAUGGAACAAGAAGAUAUGAAGUUGAAGUCGCUUUGGUGACCCCAAGAUUCUUGAAAUGCCAGAGCCGUGGGAUAUCUGCCGAGGAAAGCUGCUAACAGGGAGUGGAACCAGCCCAGGAGAAAGACGUGUGUUGCUGUCUACAAAGAUGAAAAAGGAGUUGGAGAUCUGAAGGCUGCUUUGACAUCAGCCAUGGAGAUGCAGAGUUUGGAGUUUGCCCAGCUCGUUUCCUAUUUUGCUUUGGGGAUUACAGUUAAGUGAUUGAAUGAAUCUCAGAAGAGACUUUCAACUUUGGACUUUACACAUUGUUGAAACUGCUAUAGACUAAUGGGGACUUUUGAAGUUGGACUAAAUGUAUUUUGCAUUAUGCUAUGUUUAGGUAUGGCCCCUAUAGACUCAUGUUUGGACAAGUCUAUAGGGGUCAGGGAGUAGAAUGUGAUAGUUUGUAUAUGCUUGGCCCAGGGAGUGGCACUAUUAGAAGGUAUGGCCCUGUUGGAGUAGGUGUGUCAUGUGGGUGUGGGCUCUAAGACCCUCACCCAAGCUGCCUGGAAGUCAGUAUUCUGCUAGCAACCUUCAGAUGAUGUAGAACUCUCAGCUCUGCCUGCACCAUGCCUGCCUGGAUGCUAUCACACUCCCACCUUGAUGAUAAUGGACUGAAUCUCUGAACCUGUAAACCAACCCCAAUUAAAUGUUGUCCUUAUAAGAAAAAAAAAUAGUGGCCAUAGAUAGUUAAAGAGAUGUUUGCAGUAUUUUAAAGUAUAGGAUAUGCUCUUUCAAAUGGAGAUGUAAUGUUCGUUGCAUUAAGCUACAGUAAUUACUUGGUUACAAUCAGGUGUGAAGGUUGAAUGACUAGCUAACCCAUUAUCCUAUCUAUCCAAUUAUUCAAUAGUAUUUAUUGAGCACCUUUUAUAUAAGUGAUCUAUGUUAAGCAUCAAAGAAAUUUAAAUAAAAAGGAAGAAGCAGCAUGAGCCUCA